rnacentral:rRNA from 1 species
AGGAUAAACGCUGGCGGCGUGCAUGAGACAUGCAAGUCGAACGGACGAUCAGGGCUUGCUCUGUUCGUUAGUGGCGGACGGCUGAGUAACGCGUGGGUGACCUGCCCCGAAGUGGGGAAUAACUGCCCGAAAGGGUGGCUAAUACCGCAUGUGGUGGUGCCUUCAUCGGCACCAGUAAAGCCGCAAGGCGCUUCGGGAGGGGCCUGCGUCCGAUUAGCUCGUUGGUGGGGUAACGGCUCACCAAGGCGACGAUCGGUAGGUGGUCUGAGAGGACGAUCACCCAGACUGGGACUGAGACACGGCCCAGACUCCUACGGGAGGCAGCAGUCGGGAAUUUUGCGCAAUGGACGAAAGUCUGACGCAGCAACGCCGCGUGAGGGAUGACGGCCUCGGUUGUAACCUCUUUGUCAGGGAGAUCAUGACGGUACCUGGCGAAUAAGCCACGGCUAACUACGCGCCAGCAGCCGCGGU